rnacentral:rRNA from 1 species
AUUGAACGCUGGCGGCAUGCCUUACACAUGCAAGUCGAACGGCAGCACGGGUGCUUGCAUCUGGUGGCGAGUGGCGAACGGGUGAGUAAUACAUCGGAACAUGUCCUGUAGUGGGGGAUAGCCCGGCGAAAGCCGGAUUAAUACCGCAUACGAUCUACGGAUGAAAGCGGGGGACCUUCGGGCCUCGCGCUAUAGGGUUGGCCGACGGCUGAUUAGCUAGUUGGUGGGGUAAAGGCCUACCAAGGCGACGAUCAGUAGCUGGUCUGAGAGGACGACCAGCCACACUGGGACUGAGACACGGCCCAGACUCCUACGGGAGGCAGCAGUGGGGAAUUUUGGACAAUGGGCGAAAGCCUGAUCCAGCAAUGCCGCGUGUGUGAAGAAGGCCUUCGGGUUGUAAAGCACUUUUGUCCGGAAAGAAAUCCUUGGCCCUAAUACGGUCGGGGGAUGACGGUACCGGAAGAAUAAGCACCGGCUAACUACGUG